GGCCCGGUAUGGAGCGGUAGCUUGGGAGCGCACUGCCGUCGUGAUUUGUCGUUGGCCUUCGUGGUUGUGGAGUUAUUUUGGCAGGGGAGGACGCUGCCUUGGUUAAUACCCUGGCCUUGACGGUUCCUCGCAGUAAGCCACGGCUUACUUCGUGCCCCAGCCGCGGUAAUAA
rnacentral:rRNA from 1 species